CCGGAGGGUGCAAGCGUUAUCCGGAUUCACUGGGUUUAAAGGGUGCGUAGGAGGGCAGGUAAGUCAGUGGCGAAAUCUCCGAGCUUAACUCGGAAACUGCCGUUGAUACUAUCUGUCUUGAAUCCCGUGGAGAUGAGCGGAAUAUGUCAUGUAGCGGUGAAAUGCUUAGAUAUGACAUAGAACACCAAUUGCGAAGGCAGCUCGUUACACGAAGAUUGACUCUGAGGCACGAAAGCGUGGGGAUCAAACAGGAUUAGAUACCCUGGUAGUCCACGCCCUAAACUAUGGAUACUCGACAUACGCGAUACACUGUGUGUGUCUGAGCGAAAGCAUUAAGUAUCCCACCUGGGAAGUACGACCGCAAGGUUG
rnacentral:rRNA from 1 species